GAUGAACGCUGGCGGCGUGCCUAAUACAUGCAAGUCGAGCGAACAGACGAGGAGCUUGCUCCUCUGACGUUAGCGGCGGACGGGUGAGUAACACGUGGAUAACCUACCUAUAAGACUGGGAUAACUUCGGGAAACCGGAGCUAAUACCGGAUAAUAUAUUGAACCGCAUGGUUCAAUAGUGAAAGACGGUUUUGCUGUCACUUAUAGAUGGAUCCGCGCCGCAUUAGCUAGUUGGUAAGGUAACGGCUUACCAAGGCAACGAUGCGUAGCCGACCUGAGAGGGUGAUCGGCCACACUGGAACUGAGACACGGUCUAGACUCCUACGGGAGGCAGCAGUAGGGAAUCUUCCGCAAUGGGCGAAAGCCUGACGGAGCAACGCCGCGUGAGUGAUGAAGGUCUUCGGACCGUAAAACUCUGUUAUUAGGGAAGAACAAAUGUGUAAGUAACUAUGCACGUCUUGACGGUACCUAAUCAGAAAGCCACGGCUAACUACGUG
rnacentral:rRNA from 1 species